UUUUAGGGUUCAUUAUUAAGCUAUCAGAUUUUGAGAAUCUUUGGGCGUUUCCAAUCUAGUUUUAUCCAUUUAAGCAUUUAGUUGCCUAGUUGCAUAUUGUCUAAUUGAAACAUUUACAAAAUAAUCUGCAGCAACCAUGGGUUCAAAAGACACGAACCACCUUGCUCUAUUCACUACGGACUCGUUUAGCGCUUAAGAUCGGAGUGGAUUGGAUCAGUCAUGGGAUUCCAAACAUGUAGAACGAAGAAGUGAAAUUUUUUUGAGCAAGUUGAAGUUUGGUUGGACAAGGACUAGGCUGAAUCUCAACAAAGGAGAUAGGAAAUGAUGAGACAAUGUGCACACAUGAGAGACAACAGAAGGUGCCCAUGUGAAGGUGGUAUCCAC